rnacentral:rRNA from 1 species
ACGAACGCUGGCGGCGCGCCUAACACAUGCAAGUCGAACGGAGCUUAGAGAGCUUGCUUUUUAAGCUUAGUGGCGAACGGGUGAGUAACGCGUGAGUAACCUGCCCUAGAGUGGGGGACAACAGUUGGAAACGACUGCUAAUACCGCAUAAGCCCACGGUACCGCAUGGUACUGAGGGAAAAGGAUUUAUUCGCUUUAGGAUGGACUCGCGUCCAAUUAGCUAGUUGGUGAGGUAACGGCCCACCAAGGCGACGAUUGGUAGCCGGACUGAGAGGUUGAACGGCCACAUUGGGACUGAGACACGGCCCAGACUCCUACGGGAGGCAGCAGUGGGGGAUAUUGCACAAUGGGGGAAACCCUGAUGCAGCGACGCCGCGUGGAGGAAGAAGGUUUUCGGAUUGUAAACUCCUGUCGUUAGGGACGAUAAUGACGGUACCUAACAAGAAAGCACCGGCUAACUACGUGCCAGCAGCCGCGGUAAAACGUAGGGUGCAAGCGUUGUCCGGAAUUACUGGGUGUAAAGGGAGCGCAGGCGGGAAGACAAGUUGGAAGUGAAAACCAUGGGCUCAACCCAUGAAUUGCUUUCAAAACUGUUUUUCUUGAGUAGUGCAGAGGUAGAUGGAAUUCCCGGUGUAGCGGUGGAAUGCGUAGAUAUCGGGAGGAACACCAGUGGCGAAGGCAGUCUACUGGGCACCAACUGACGCUGAGGCUCGAAAGCAUGGGUAGCAAACAGGAUUAGAUACCCUGGUAGUCCAUGCCGUAAACGAUGAUUACUAGGUGUUGGGGGAUUGACCCCCUCAGUGCCGCAGUUAACACAAUAAGUAAUCCACCUGGGGAGUACGACCGCAAGGUUGAAACUCAAAGGAAUUGACGGGGGCCCGCACAAGCAGUGGAGUAUGUGGUUUAAUUCGAAGCAACGCGAAGAACCUUACCAGGUCUUGACAUCCGAUGCAUAGCACAGAGAUGUGUGAAAUCCUUCGGGACAUCGAGACAGGUGGUGCAUGGUUGUCGUCAGCUCGUGUCGUGAGAUGUUGGGUUAAGUCCCGCAACGAGCGCAACCCUUAUUGCCAGUUACUACGUUAAGAGGACUCUGGCGAGACUGCCGUUGACAAAACGGAGGAAGGUGGGGAUGACGUCAAAUCAUCAUGCCCUUUAUGACCUGGGCUACACACGUACUACAAUGGCUAUAACAAAGAGAAGCGAGACCGCGAGGUGGAGCAAAACUCAAAAAAGUAGUCUCAGUUCGGAUUGUAGACUGAAAUUCGUCUACAUGAAGCUGGAAUUGCUAGUAAUGGCAGGUCAGCAUACUGCCGUGAAUACGUUCCCGGGCCUUGUACACACCGCCCGUCACACCAUGAGAGUUGGGGAUACCCGAAGCCUGUGAGCCAACAGUUUACUGAGGCAGCAGUCGAAGGUAGAAUCAAUGAUUGGGGUG